GACGAACGCUGGCGGCGUGCCUAAUACAUGCAAGUCGAGCGGACCUCUUCGGAGGUCAGCGGCGGACGGGUGCGUAACACGUGGGCCACCUGCCUGUAAGACUGGGAUAACACCGGGAAACCGGUGCUAAUACCGGAUAAUUCUUUUCCUCACCUGGGGAAAAGCUGAAAGACGGCAUCUCGCUGUCACUUACAGAUGGGCCCGCGGCGCAUUAGCUAGUUGGUGGGGUAACGGCCCACCCAGGCGACGAUGCGUAGCCGACCUGAGAGGAUGAUCAGCCACACUGGGACUGAGACACGGCCCAGACUCCUACGGGAGGCAGCAGUGGGGAAUUUUGGACAAUGGGGGCAACCCUGAUCCAGCCAUUCCGCGUGAGUGAAGAAGGCCUUCGGGUUGUAAAGCUCUUUCGGCAGGAACGAAACGGUGGUUACUAAUACUAGCUACUAAUGACGGUACCUGAAGAAGAAGCACCGGCUAACUACGUGCCAGCCGCCGCCGUAAAAC
rnacentral:rRNA from 1 species